GUGGAGCCAACCUUGAAAUACCACCCUUUAAUGUUUGAUGUUCUAACGUUGCCCCGUUAUCCGGGGUGCGGACAGUGUCUGGUGGGUAGUUUGACUGGGGCGGUCUCCUCCCAAAGAGUAACGGAGGAGCACGAAGGUUGGCUAAGCAUGGUCGGACAUCAUGCGGUUAGUGCAAAGGCAUAAGCCAGCUUGACUGCGAGAGUGACGGCUCGAGCAGGUACGAAAGUAGGUCUUAGUGAUCCGGUGGUUCUGAAUGGAAGGGCCAUCGCUCAACGGAUAAAAGGUACUCCGGGGAUAACAGGCUGAUACCGCCCAAGAGUUCAUAUCGACGGCGGUGUUUGGCACCUCGAUGUCGGCUCAUCACAUCCUGGGGCUGAAGUAGGUCCCAAGGGUACGGCUGUUCGCCGUUUAAAGUGGUACGCGAGCUGGGUUUAGAACGUCGUGAGACAGUUCGGUCCCUAUCUGCCGUGGGCGUUGGAAGAUUGAAAGGGGCUGCUCCUAGUACGAGAGGACCGGAGUGGACGCACCACUGGUGUUCGGGUUGUCAUGCCAAUGGCAUUGCCCGGUAGCUAAGUGCGGAAAAGAUAACCGCUGAAAGCAUCUAAGCGGGAAACUUGCCUUGAGAUGAGUCUUCCCUGACCCUUUAAGGGUCCUAAAGGAACGUUUAAGACUAAGACGUUGAUAGGUUGGGUGUGUAAGCGUAGCGAUACGUUGAGCUAACCAAUACUAAUGAACCGUGAGGCUUAACCUG
rnacentral:rRNA from 1 species